rnacentral:tRNA from 1 species
GGAGCAGUGCGUGGCCGAAUGGUUACGCUGUCCGCUUAGUAAGCGGAUGAUGCUGGGUUCGAUUCCCAUCUGCUCCA